rnacentral:lncRNA from 1 species
GUGGUUUCUUUCUGGAAGACAAAUUUAGGACAUGAAUCCUACCUCACUGGCCCUAUCUGUUGUCCAGCCUGCCAUCUCCAAGAUUCUUCAUGCCCUAAGGGACUGCAUCACACAUCAUCCUAUAGCCAUUUAGCUCUCUGGUACUAAGAAGUUUUCCAGAACAGAAAUGCAAUAAAGUCAAGCAGUGAUUUAUGUGCUGAAACAGAGGCUGUUGAAGGAAUACAGAAAUUGCAGAAGAAAAUUUCAAGACAAGACACGGCAAAAAUAUCAUGUAGCCUAGCACUUAUUUUGAAGAGGGUAUCUUCAUGUCAAUUUAAUCUAGGCUGUUUGAGAUGUCUUCCUCUUCAGUAAAUUCUGAUGCCUUGCA